rnacentral:rRNA from 1 species
UCUAGAGUUCUGGGCCGCACGCGCGUUACACUGACACAGCCAGCGAGUACUUCCUUGAUAGAAAUAUCUGGGUAAUCUUGUUAAACUGUGUCGUGCUGGGGAUAGAGCAUUGCAAUUAUUGCUCUUCAACGAGGAAUCCCUAGUAAGCGUAAGUCAUCAACUUGCGUUGAUUACGUCCCUGCCCUUUGUACACACCGCCCGUCGCUACUACCGAUUGAAUGGCUCAGUGAGGCGUUGGGACUGGCCCAGAGGAGUCGGCAACGACACCUCAGGGCCGGAAACUUCUCCAAACUCGGUCAUUUAGAGGAAGUAAAAGUCGUAACAAGGUCUCCGUUGGUGAACCAGCGGAGGGAUCAUUACUGAGUUUUCUAAACUCCCAAACCCAUGUGAACAUACCUUUUGUUGCCUCGGCAGUGGUGCCGUCGCCCCUCGCGGCGGCGGCAGCCUGCCGGCGGACCCAAUAAACUCUUGUUGUUACAGUGUCAUUCUGAAUUAAAAAACUUAAUUAGUUAAAACUUUCAACAACGGAUCUCUUGGUUCUGGCAUCGAUGAAGAACGCAGCGAAAUGCGAUAAGUAAUGUGAAUUGCAGAAUUCAGUGAAUCAUCGAAUCUUUGAACGCACAUUGCGCCCAUUAGUAUUCUAGUGGGCAUGCCUGUUCGAGCGUCAUUUCAACCCUUAAGCCCCAGUUGCUUAGUGUCGGGAGACUGCCGUAAAACGCAGCUCCUCAGAGUUAGCUGGCAGAAUUGGUUCCAAUCUCUGGGCGUAGUAAAUCUUUAUCUCGUCUCUUGCAGUUGGGCCGGCGCUCCCCUUAAACACCCAAAUUUUUCUAUGGUUGACCUCGGAUCAGGUAGGAAUACCGCUGAACUUAACCUAUCAAUAAGCGGAGGAAAAGAACCAACAGGGAUGGCCUAAUAACGGCGAGGGAGCGCACCGCUCAAAUUGAAACUGGCUUCGGGUCCCCUUGUAUUUGAAAGA